rnacentral:rRNA from 1 species
UACAGAGGUCCCAAGCGUUGUUCGGAUUCACUGGGCGUAAAGGGUGCGUAGGUGGCGAGGUAAGUUUGAUGUGAAAUCUCCGGGCUUAACCCGGAAAUGGCAUUGAAUACUCUCUCGCUAGAGGGUUGGAGGGGGGACUGGAAUUCUCGGUGUAGCAGUGAAAUGCGUAGAUAUCGAGAGGAACACCAGUGGCGAAGGCGAGUCCCUGGACAACUCCUGACACUGAGGCACGAAAGCUAGGGGAGCAAACAGG